CAAUAGCGUAUAUUUAAGUUGCUGCAGUUAAAAAGCUCGUAGUUGGAUUUCGGGUGGGAAUGGCCGGUCCGCCGUUUCGGUGUGCACUUGCUACGCCCACCUUGCUGCCGGGGACGUGCUCUUGAGUUCACGCUCGGGACACGGAGUCGGCGAGGUUACUUUGAGUAAAUUAGAGUGUUCAAAGCAGGCCUACGCUCUGAAUACAUUAGCAUGGAAUAACACGUUAGGACUCUGGCCUAUCUUGUUGGUCUGUAGGACCGGAGUAAUGAUUAAGAGGGACAGUCGGGGGCAUUCGUAUUUCAUUGUCAGAGGUGAAAUUCUUGGAUUUAUGAAAGACGAACUACUGCGAAAGCAUUUGCCAAGGAUGUUUUCAUUAA
rnacentral:rRNA from 1 species